AGCAAACACAUUCAUAAUCAUACUACCUAGAAAAAAAACAUUAACAUCUUGAUUUUUUUCUUAACAAAAAAUAGGGCUUAAAAAUGGGACUUUUACUGGGCAAAUGAUUUUACAGUUUGCAUUUUUCUGCUUAGCUAAAUAUUGUAAUUUUUUCUCAUGUCAGUAAGCAUUCAUCUACAAUAUUCCUCUUAUUGUCCAAACAGAAUUCCAUUGCAUGAAAAUGGCAUAAUUUAUUUAACCAGUCCCCUGUGGUUGGACAUCUUUCACUAUCAUAGCAGUUUAUAGAAAGUUUCCACUCUUUUACUGUUAUAAACAAUGAACAUUUUUGCAGAUAAAUCACAUGUAUCUUUACAUCCUUAGAAGAAAUUCCUAUGAGGAGAAUUGCUGGGUCUAAGGAUAAACUUUUUUUUUCCUUUAAGGUAUUUCAGAAAUGUCUGUCUUCAGCCUCUGCCUCCCUUCCCAGUACCAAGCUUAGUUAGCCCUGUCCACCCGCAAGCUUCCCAUGGAUGCUCCUUGGGACCCACCAGAGAAAGGUUCAGCUUAUCUAAAAGAGGCAAACUCUGGCAAUGAUAUAAAGACUGAGAAAACAAGAUGUAAGAGCAUAGGAGACUGGUAAGGAAGCUCUUGCCAAGUGACUGAGCCCAGAGUGAUGCAAUGGAGAUGAUGCCAUUGGCUGACAGACAUCUGUGGAGUCAACCCCUGGGAAGAAGAGGAGCCCUCAAGGUCAGACGAAGACAAGGAAAGGAACGAAAGGCAGAAGUUUUGAAGACCAACUCCAGAAUGCACACCUGGCUGUUGUCAUCAGAUAGGGGUUGACCCAACGCCACAGCAGGCCUCCUGCUGACGUGUUGACAUUUGCAUUUUAAUGGAGGCGGUUAAUGCCUUCAGCUGAAGGAGUGACUAAUACGUUCUUUCAAUUGCUACAGAAGCCUAUUCAACAAGCGAAGAGCUUGAAGCUUGGAAUCCGAAGACCCAGAGGCCCCACACCAGCGUGAGGCCCCACACCAGCGUGACUCACUUCUAGCUGUGUUGUGUCCCACAAGUCCCUUCACCGCUCAGAUCAGCAGUUCCCAGCCAGGAAGAGUGACAA